rnacentral:tRNA from 1 species
ACCUGGUUAGCUCAGUCAGUAGAGCAUGUGACUCUUGAUUUCAGGGUUGUGAGUUCAAGCCCCACAUUGGCUA